rnacentral:lncRNA from 1 species
GUUGUCGUUUGUUUAUGUGUUACAUAUUUGUUUUUCGUUCAUAUUUUUUACAUAAAUAAGGCCGUUAGUUUUCUCGUUUGAAUUGUUUUACAUUGUCUUAUCGGGGCCUUUAAUAGCUGACUAUGCGGUAUGGGCUUUGCUCAUUGUUGAAGGCCGUAUGGUGACCUAUAGUUGUUAAUGUCUGUGUCAUUUUGGUCUUUUGUGGAUAGUUGUCUCAUUGGCAAUCAUACCACAUCUUCUUUUUUAUAUUA